AUUUCAUUGAAAGAUCCAGAGGUAGUUUUUUUGAUUACGUAUGUUACAGUGUUCCCUCGCUCUUUUAUCCAGCGUUUUGCUAGGAAUCGGGAAUAUGAGCUCCAAACAUACGUCUCAUCAUUGAUUGCCACGCUAUUUUGGGAGAGGAGUUCUCAAGUGAGCGCCAUCUUUAACUUCUCCGAGUUUGUAUGGAGCGCCGUUUGCUUCAUCUAUAGUACCCGGAUAGGUCUUUACGCUCAACUUGUCAUCCUCAUCAUAACUGCAAUCUUAGGCAACAUUGUCUACAUUUUGGUAGAGACCCGUGUAAGGAAAGAAGAGACGCAGCAUCAAGAAAAACAGCGGUAAACUGUGAUGUAGAGAAUAAUAAUCGGAAUAAUGAACUAGUCAGAAAAUUAAAAGACAGCUACGUUAGCGCAGAGAUCAUGACAUUCAGAAUGCUUCCUGAGGAGUGAAAAAAAUCAAUGAUUUGAUUUCAUUAUACAUGAAAAAUCAGUAAAGAUCCGUUAAAGGAUCAUAACGACAACAGGGCGGAUCCAGCAAUUUGGCAACAACGGAUUCUCUCCAUUUAAACCUAUGUUAAAUAAUCGAUUCUUGGAGGGGCACCUGGCCCCUCCAAGAGUCGAUACAUUUCCAUAGGUUUAAAUGGAAGAAAACAGUGUUGCCAAAUUGCUGGAUCCGCCUAUGAACGACAACGUUACGUAUUGAGGUAUUGCGAGUGGUUAGCUCCAACAUCACAAGUUUUAACGAGUUUGCCAUUGAGUACGUUUAUAUUGUGGUAGUACCUAACCCUCCUGCAUUUUGAUGGCCAAAGUUAGAGUGCCGAAAGUAUGGACAGCGGUGUGAUUAUUGAAAGUGAUAGACAAAGCAAUAGACAAGGGUGACAAAAGAGAUAUGGAGGGAUCCUAUCGGUGGAAGCGGGUGGUUGCAAUGGAUAAAGGAUGUAGUUAAUAGACCAACUAACGGCGCCCACGAGAGACCCGAUAGUUAGCCCAUCAUUUUCUCCCUUAGUCUACAGGAACCAUCCAUUUCAACCAAUAGGAUCGCUCUAUAAUCCUUAUGUCUUCUUUGUAUGUUGCUUUGUCUAUCAAUUUCAAUAAUCGGCCCUCGCAGGUGUUAAACUCCGAAAAUCCAUCAGACUUUCGCCGAUGCCCUUGCGAAUAAAGUCAGGGCCCAAAGGGGCAGCGAACCUAUGAUUUUAAAUUUCCCAGAACGAUUAAUUAUUACAACUGUUACGACUCGUCGUUUGUAAAGCAUCUGUUUGACUUAUAGUUUUUGCAUGAAUUUACUCAUCUCUGCGGAGAAAGCUCAUCAUUUACAAACAUUCUCGGAGAUCUUGCAUUGAUAUUGGGAUCUGAAGAUUGGCAGUGGCAUUCUGUGAGUGUGGGGGUUUGCUACCCUUUUUUAAAACGAUUUGUUCAUACUCUUGCUGUAUGCAUAGCACAGGUACUCUCCCAGAUAAGACAUAUUAUUUUUACAAUAUUUUGAUCAUAUUUUAAUCAAAAUUAUUUUUUAAAAAAAUAUUAAAAGAAUCUGUAUUUAGUAUUUUUAAAAAUGACAUGUUUAUUAAAAAUAUUAUAAAAAUAUUUUCACAGUAUUGACACCGUAUUUCAGGUAUUUUAAAGUAUUGGCACAGUAUUUAUGCCAAAAGGAAAUAUGGUGUACACUUUUAACAUUGGCUCCAUAUUUAACCAAUAUUGGCCCGAUGUUUGCAUAAAUAUCAAACAAUAUUGUUUAAAUAUUGGCGAAAUAUUUCUGUCUUAUCUGGGCUAGUCAAAAUAAAAACCACGUAUCUCCGUUGCGGUGUCUCAAAAUCUCUGCCUUUAUUUUAUUUAAUUCGAAGAGAAGCAAGCAAACUUCAGAGCUUAAAAGAGCCUCCCCAAAAAUGGCCCCUUUUCGGGAACCCGGGGAUUUCAUUCGUAUGUGGCUUAAAUGAAACCUUAUGAUGAGACAAGCCUCCAUUAAAAAUUUUAGCUUGAGUAUAUGUCUUGUUUCCGAGAUACAGCGUUGCAAAGUUGGCAUAUUUGAGCUUUAAAAUUCUCAUAUUUUUAUGGAUUUUCUUCCAAAAACCAACUUCAAAAAUGACUUUACAAUACUUACACGAGGCGCACACGAUAAAUUAUAAUAUAAAAGUCUCCAGUAAGAGUUUUGACUCAUGCGUAAGCCU
rnacentral:lncRNA from 1 species